UGGGACUUGAGAGGGCAGGUGGCUGACCCCUUCCUUCCGUCCUGCCCACAGGGACGGGGAAGCUUGGCCCAGCUCCCUCGGCGCGGUGUUACCGACUUUUUCCCCAUCAGAUGGAUGCAGCGCGGCCCCUCGCGAGCCUUAAAAGGAGCAGCAGGCGGCCGCCUUACGCAGCGACCCGGAGGGAGUCCUGAGGGGACUACGCGGCGGGCUUGAGGCGAGCGCGGCUCCGGGCAUGCGCGGCGGCUAUGUGCCCGUCGGGCCGGCACCGCCCUCUGGCUGUGUCUUCCUCCCGCCGCGGCCUUCGGGCUCCCGGAGCACCGGGGCUGAUCGCCGAGGUAGGCGGUGCCCUCGCGGCCCCCUGCGUUUCUUUCUCCCUUAGUCCGUCCGCUUUUUGAAUCUCCCUCCUGGCUUCUGCGAGCUCCCGCCCUUCCGCAGACGCGGGGGUCUCCCGGCGCACCAGGACAUGCAGGUUUUGUCCACCCUAGGGCUCCUGAGGAAUCGCGUUUAGUUUAGGCUCACUCUGCCCCAUACCUGUUUGUCCGACAGACAACCUUUAAAAAAAAAAAAAAGUUUUCCCUCCGGGGAUCAGAACGUUUAAACAUUAAACGUAGGCAAGGGCUUCCUGGCGGCCUGAGGGGCACCACCACCUUAACAUCUACGUAAGACUGAAAACCACUGGGGGCCGAGGUCCAGGGGUGAUGGAGACGCGAGGACCGAGGAUGGAGACCGAAUCAGGAAUCAGGCCCACGUCGUCAUCUACGUGACCGGCCGACAGGGUUUAAUUCCUAUCUGGGGUUAAAUGAAAUGCCAAGCAGAGGAGUUGAUUUUAAUUCCAGAUGGACUCAGUGUAUAUAACAGCGUGUAUUUUUCAAAGAAAUGGGUGUAAAGAGAACGAAUACGCGGAGAAUUUUAACGGAAUGCCUAUGUAAACAAGCACUAUUAAAUGACAUCUUCAGGGAGACAACUUUGAAGAAAUGCCUGAAAGUCACAGUAGAAAUACUUUCUUCUGUUACCUCCUGAAAGACUGAAAUUUCGCAGAAGUAUCUAAUGAAGAGGAAUCUGAACAUAGCAGUUGAGGAAGGAAAAAGAUUGGGAGAAGAGCCCAGAUGUCAUAAAGCAAAGAGAGGAUGAGAGGCCCCUUGAAGCAGAAUUAUUGAGUAAAAGCUCUUGCUACGUCUUGAUAUUCAGGUUACAUCAGAUUUUAGAGCAUGUACUGUGUUUGUGAUUGCCAUCUCUUAACUGUUGGAAUGGAACAAAACAUUGGAGAUUAUUUUAAUGAGAAAAGCUUCUCCAGGAAGUCAGUGAUGACCAAAAAAUUAGGGUAGGGAACUCAGGGAGACCAAGUCAACUGUAAAGUGAGAUUCUUGACAUCGUUCAGCAGCUGCUUCCCAGUGGAUUUAAUCAGUAGACAUCUGGUGGGAAAGGUACCACAGCACUGACAGCAAAGAGCUGCUUCAGCUGGGUGUGAUGGCAGCUUGAAAUCCAGGAGGAAGGAAAACACAGUAACCAGGGUGAGAUGGAGGAAGGGGAUCGUGAGCCAAGGAAUGCAAGCGCUUCUAGAAGCUGGAAAAGACCCGGGAGGCAGACUCUCCUUCAGAGCCUCCGGAGGGAAAGCAGAGCAGCCAACACCUUGAUGUGAGCCCGGGGGACCUCACUGGACUUCUAACCUACAGAUUUGUAUUGUUUAAGCCACCAGAUCUGUGGUAAUUUGUUACAGUGACAAUAGAAAAUCAGUAUGUUGUUAUUGUCAUUUGUUUGUCUGCUCUAGGCCAAGACUCAGUAGGGAAGCUUUGCUUUGACAUAUGGCAGCAUAAAUUCCCUUACAAUAAGAAAGGAUAGAAUUUUGAAUUCUAAAAAGCCACCAAAGUCUACAAAAAAUUCUUGAGCUGACCUUAUAUUAUUUCUAUCUUCCAAUCCUUUCCCCUCUUGCUUUAUAUUGACAAAGAUCAAAAAGGGUUCAGCAACUGUCUUUCACGAUUCUCCCAGAACCAUUAUUACACUGAAAUUUACAGGAUGUCUGACGUAUGAAGUACUAUCGUCCAUGGUUUCAGAAAGUAAAAAGCUUAAAUCUUCACUCAUUUGUUAGCUCACAAGAGCAAAAGGUAACAACUGAGAAAAAAAUAAAUGAAGCAAAGAAAGAGAAAUAUCAAAGGGAAACUGAUCAAGAGCUGUUGGGUUUACACAGAAUGUUCCGAAGAAAACUUGGGGUAAUUAAGGAAAGAACGCAAAGACGACCCUGUUUUAUUCCAUACUUGAGCUGACGUAAGUCUUCAUCUGCUUAGUUCCUGAAUUUGCCCCAAGGUUGUGAACAGAGAAAAAGAAAUCUUUACCAGAACCCAAGCAGCCGUGCUUCACCUGGUAUGAUUUGAUUUUAGGCUACUGUCUCGAAAUAAUUCCUCCCCUAGAAGAAUGUGUUGGGCAAAGUAAUGCCUGACCAAGUAUAAAUAGUGCCCCAAGCUUUAUCGAGCACCUUUAGCAUAUGUUUGUUAGAACUUUUAUGCUAUCCAUGCUUUAUAAAAACCACCAGUAUUUAUUUCAAAUUACUUUUUUAAAGUAAGAUUUUUCUAAGUUUACUCGUACAGCAAUCUCAGGGAUCCCAAGAAGGGCCACCUUGUUCCGCAACCCCAAGGACAUCAGUGCAGAGUGACAUCCACGGUCUUCCAUGUGAACGCGGCCCCGUGCUGUGCAGCUCAGCAGCUUUGCCUUCAAGGUCUCGAUGCCUUCAGGAUUUCUCGCUCAAGCCCUCUUUGUUUCAAUCUCUCGGACCCUCCUAAGGAAGGAUGCAUUCUUUGAUUACAGUCAGGGGAUAGAUGAGGCAGGCUCAUUACAUGGGAACUGUCAUUACUCCCACCGCUGCAAUACUGACACACGCGAAGUUCAUGCUGUCGAAGAGAGGUCAGGACCCACUUGCCUGGAAUGCCCGCUUCCCUGCUUUACCCUCCGCAAAAUCUGCUAGGGCUGGAAUGGUGCAUUUUUCCUUCCUUGCUAUCCCUGCGUGGACUUCCCUAAAGUCACAUUAUCCUUCUCUCCUUCCCUAUAUGAGCCAUAAUGGCAGAAUGACUGCCAGAGAAUGUGAAUUUCAAGGGAAAGGAAUGAGUAUUUUCAGAAUAGUAUUCUUAUUUUACCUUUAUCAUAUUUCUCUUGUUAAUUGCAUUCAAUAUUUUGAAAUGAAAAACGAGGACAGAGGUGCACAUACUUUAUCCCAUAUUGGUUUCCAAAUUGCAGGUUAUUGGGCAUGUGUGUAACUCCCUCAUUAAGUAAUCCAUGACAGUCCACACAGGUAUGACAAACUAGAGAGGCCUCUGUGGACCUCUAUGAGUUUUUAUUUCAUGAGAACCAUUUUUUUUUUCCUCAGCUAGUGUAGAAAAGUAUUUAAUAAUAUACAAAUGGUGAAGAGUAAUGAGACAGGAUUCAUUAGGUAUAUAAUUUGUUUCACCAUUGGUUACAUCAUUGAUUAUACCACUGCCUCUGCAGAUUGUCCCUUUAAAAUUCUACAAAUAAUGUCUAGAAAAUAUUUUCCAAUGAUUUUUUCAGAUACAUAUUUGAGCAACUUCCCUUAAAGUUUACUUCUUUACAAACUUCCUAAUUUAAAUUGUUAAAUAAAAUUUCUCAAAUUUUCUUCCAAGUGUGAUUACACUAUUUUCUAGUACAUAAACAAAUACCAUGGGCCAGCAUGUCUCACUGGCAUCCACAUUCAGUGCCCCAAAUUAGAACCAAGUCAUUGUUUAGUCUUCUAGAACACCGGAUUUGAGUCCCUACUUCAACAUUUACUUGUUCUGUGAUUUGAGGGAAACAAGUCAAAAUCGUCAUGUUUUCUCAUUUGUGAAAUAGGAUCAACAAUACCAACCCACCUAAGGGUAAGGAGGCUUAAGUAAGAUGUACAUAAAGCAUCAGUAUACUGUAGGCACCCAAUAAAUGAUAGCUACCCACAUGGUGAGUACUUGCAUUGCUGAUAUAGUUUCGUUUUUUGACCUAGGUAAUCAUUAUGUGGGCAUUUAAUAAUUAUUGGACUUUAUAUAUGGACUUCUGCAAUUAUAGUUCACAAAAAAGUAAGAAAUAGUAGCUAUUUUUAGUGUUAUCUAAAUGUUAAUUUACGUGAUGGUCCCUUAAGCCUGACCUGAGUCCCUACUAACUGCAAAUUCUAAUAUGGCAUAUUACUUUAAAACAGAUUAAUUCCAUUUAGUAAAUUGGUAACUUUCUGCCUUACAUCACUCUAAUACCAGUUGCAGAAGGAAGCUGGCAUCUACACCAGGCCUCAUAGUUGCUAAACCCCCUUCUGUUCAGUCCAAGGAGGUGCCAAGGAAUUGAGAAAGGAAGGUAGAGGAAUUCAUUGAUGGGGUGUGACUGCCCUCUUUCAAAGUAGGUCUGCUCCUCUCUGUUUUACACACACAGGGCUCCAUUUUUCUUUGAAGAAAUAUGACUAAAAUAAAGUUUGAAAACCACCAAACGCAUAUUCAGAGUUCGGGUUUUAUCAUUUCAAUGUCCGAGCCCUGGUAAACUGACAAACAUGAAAAGAGUCAUAAGGAAAACACUAGGUGAUUAUCUUUUUGUGCAUUUGUCUUUACACUCCUUUUCAAGUUUUAUGUACAUUAUGUAUAAUAGUUCCACUUCAUAUCAUAGUACAGUUUUAUAACUCCAUAUACUUACUGUUUAUGCUGUUAGUUUGGUUGUUACUAAUGACUUCCAAGGAGGAUUCUGAUUCUACUCAUUAAAGUUUCAAGAUCACAAAA